GCGCGGAGCUCCGGCCUGGGGGGCGUGGCCUGGGCGAGGGCGCGCCUGCGCCGUGUGCGGGACCCGCAGUGCGGGAGCGGCCGCGGAGGAGCGCGGGGUUCUGAGUUGUGGGGCGGGGCGGGGCGGGGCGGGGCGCAGCUCCGGGCUCGGGCAGGGGCUCGGGAUGCGCCCGGGGAGGCAGCGGGGAGCCGCCCGCCCGCCUACACGGCGCUGCACGUGCCCCGAGCCGGCAUGCGGGAGCCCCGGGGCCGCCUGCUCCUUCCCUCCCGACCCCAGCCCCAAAACAUCCGGGGAGCCCCCUCCUCGGCGCCUCCGGGUGCUUAGUGUUACCUUUUGCACGUGGCUGUUCACUAAUUAUUAAGGAGAUGAGGAGGAUGAAGCAGAUGAAGAUGAAGCUGGUCCACCAGGAGAGUACAAACAAGGUGAAGAUGAUGGAGGUUCAGAUUUGGGGGAGAGUGAAGAGGAGGAAGAAGCUGGCCUUUCAUACCUGAUGAUGGACAAGAUCCAGGUAGGACUUACCCUAUUCUACUGUAAGGCUCAGGAUUUUCUUGACACUGUCUAGCUAUAAACGUGUAAUAAUUUAAACUUGUAUAAGCAGAAUCAUGUAAAUCCACUAUCAUAUAUGUGCAAUAGAGUACUUUAGAGAGACACCUUUUACUAUCAAAGAAGUGCGUUACAGUAGGGGAACCGCCGCUCUUUGGUAUUCUCUGUUAUCUUGCUUAACAUGAAAUGCUGCAAGAUUUAUUACUUCACUGCCUUGUAGAAUUAGUGUCAUUCUGCACCAGAUCACCACGUCAGAUUUAGAGGAGAACAUGGCCGAAACAAAUCCACCUGCCCUACCAGGAUGCUCACAAGUGUCUAGGGCGCUUCAGCCUUGAGAGCCAUGCCCUCACCAUGCAGAUCUGCAGGUUGUCAGGUGUGGGGCUGGGGCUUCCAGGCAGGGGGGAGAGGGUGAGUAUGGAGGAGCUAGGGCCUGAGGGUGCAGGGGGCUGAUCAGGAUGUGAGGGCUGAGGCAAAGGGGAGACAGGCUGGGAAUCGAGGAGUGAGGGCUGGCCACAGGAAGAAGUCAGGGAGAGGCUGGAGCUGCGGCCCUGGGAGUGCCGUGGGUUCGGCCAUGCAGGGGAGAGCUGGGGCAGGGAGCGGAGACUUCCCCUGGGUGGGAGCACAGGACCUUGAGCUGCUGUUAGUGGAGGGAGGUGGGUGGGAAGUUGGAUCCUGGCAUUUUGGGGAAGGAGAAGGGGUUGGACGCUCCUUUCACCCCACUUAUCUCAGGGUCCUUUUCUUUCCUAGCCAGGGGGGCAGAAAACCCGUGUGAUGUUUGCUGAGCUGACCUGCAGGGAGCCUGAUGGACGCAGGGGAUGGGAAUGGGGCUCUGUCGGGUUCGCUGCUCUGGGAAGGAAGCGAGUUAGAGCAGAGCAGGCGUGAGGACCAGGACUUGCAGGUUGUGCCCUGCUCUGGCUCUUCGAAAGGAGUGCUGUCCAGCAUGCCAUAGUGAGGGGCAUGGUUUGGGAGGACUCCUGGGUCCUGUUUCUAGCUGAGGGAAGGAGGGCAGGGGGUGGGAGGAAGGUUUUGUGGCUCAGGACUCCUGGCUUCUUUUUGGAAUCUGUCACUUCCCCAGAAUGAACCCACAAAUCAUCUGUGCUUUGAGUCAAUUGAUACCUUGGGUGAUGCUGUCAGCACAUACAUGGAGGUGAGUGGAAGCAGCAUGGUGGGAGGUGUCCACUGCCCUGGUCAGAGGAGGACGGGGUUGGGGGAAUACUGGGCCCAUGGAUCGGAUUCAAGGGUGGAUGGCGAUACUGGGCUUGGGUGGCCUCAUGGGUCCCAUCUGUCAGGCAGAGGAAGGUAGUAAUAGGUGCAUGGGUCAGAUCCAGGCUGGCAUGGAUGGGGUUCCCGUCAAGGGGCUGCAUUGAAGCAGAAGAGUUACUUGGCUGGGGGUGAGCCCGUGGGUCCCACGGGAUGGUUUAUAUACUACAAGCAGUGCCCUCCUGCCAGGGUCCCCAUUGGGUCCCAGUCGUGACCUUCACUGCCCAGCCCUGUCCUGGCAGUGGCUGAUGGGGAAAAUGUGGGGUCUUUCCAUUCUCCUUCAGCAUGGAAAUGGCCUCUGCUUUGCCUCCCACCCCGCUCAUGCUUUGCCUCCUGUCUCCUCUUCACAGCGGUUAUCAACGUGAGCCAUGAUGCGAUACGCAUACCAGCUGCCAGCUCUGGGUGGUGGAGGAGCAGUCCAUCAGCCAGGUCAACGGCGACUUCGACUGCAAGUGGGAGGUGCUGGAGGCCUCAGGCCAGGUCAGCAUUAACUGGCCCCGGGAGUGACCUUGCUGUGGGGAGGCUCCUCGAGGACCUGCCCAUCCCCUCUCAGAGACCUGCCUGCACAGCUUCACGUGCACCCACACCCAAAGGACUCUGUAGAGGGGGCAGGGUCACAGGCAUGGUUGUGGGUUGAACUUUGAAGAUGUGGGGUGGGGGCCUAAUGUAAGACAUGUUUAUUUUUAGAGCUGUUCUUCUACACCUGCUGCUUUCCCAGGAGAGAGAGACUUAAUUGAUAUGAAUGGGAGGAGGGUUGUACUGGAAUGGUCUAUUUUAGGCAGGAGUGAGGGCUGUCCUUGUCCCAUUGCUGGGUUCCUUGCCCCCCAGCAGUCUGGAGAAUGGCUUGAGCCUUGUUUUGCUUCCACCCAAGAGGAUUAUAUUAAAAUAUAAUAAAGGAAAA